UUUGGUGGGUGAGUAGGUGGAAGGACAGGUGAAUGACAGAUUAGUAGACAAUAGAAGGGUGGGACACCCAUGACAAGUAGAAGAAACCAUUGCUGAGUGGCAGAGGAGAACACGUCUGUCCCUGGCGACUGUCCCUGUGUCCUGGGGAAGUCUGUGGUCCGGCAGCUCUCAGCAGCAGCAGGCUCCAGUUGUGAGCUGUCUUCCCGGAGUUUUAAUUUCUUAAUGAACUCCCAUUAAACAUUAGGAAACUCACAUGAAAGUGUUUAUAGAUUUUCUUGCAAAACUGAAUCAGAAACAAUGAUCUUGGCCCCAGGGGACCCCCACUCCCCAUCUCCCAGGCACCAGUGUUCUCCUCAUAACAAAACCAUAGGGGAAAUGAAACUCUGCUUCUAAACCUGGCUUUCAUCAAAAGUGGGAAACUGAGUCAGGCGUGGGGCUCACACCUGGAAUUCCAACAUGCAGGAAGCUGGAAGACUUUGAGGACAGCCUCUGCUACACAGUGAGAUCCUGACUCAAAACACCAAAACGACAACACGAGGAAAUGACAGCAGGGGCCUGCAAGAGAGCUCAGUGGUUAAGGGGCUUGCUGCCAAAUCUGACUGCGUGAGUUCUAUCCCCAGAGCCCAUAUGGGAAAAGAGAGAACCGGUUCCAUACAACUGUCCUCUGACCUCUACAUACACAAUAAACAGAUGUAAAAAGAAAAGAAGACUAACAAUAAGGGUGUGUUUUGUAUGAGUGGAGGAGGUGAUUAAAGUGAGAGGCAUGAAUGAAUGCUGCGUGUUUCUCUG
rnacentral:lncRNA from 1 species